AUGCAAAGGAUGACAUGGCGAUGACUGGGCAACAAAGUUUAAUUGAUGUAUAUUUCCCAUUUAUAAAAGAUGAUCAGCAAAAACCGAAGAGAUCCAAGCUCGAUAUUUGGGGGAAAAAAUUUUUAGGGUUCUUCUCAUUCUUCCUUCUUCUCUCGCUCACCAAAAACCGAAGAGAUCGAACAGCAAAAACAAAGAGCUCGAUAUUUGGG
rnacentral:lncRNA from 1 species